GAUCCUGGCUCAGGAUGAACGCUAGCUACAGGCUUAACACAUGCAAGUCGAGGGGCAGCAUGGUCUUAGCUUGCUAAGGCCGAUGGCGACCGGCGCACGGGUGAGUAACACGUAUCCAACCUGCCGUCUACUCUUGGACAGCCUUCUGAAAGGAAGAUUAAUCCAGGAUGGGAUCAUGAGUUCACAUGUCCGCAUGAUUAAAGGUAUUUUCCGGUAGACGAUGGGG
rnacentral:rRNA from 1 species